rnacentral:rRNA from 1 species
UACAGAGGGGGCUAGCGUUAUUCGGAAUUAUUGGGCGUAAAGGGCGCGUAGGCGGCCAUGCGUGUCUUCCGUGAAAUCCCUCGGCUUAACUGAGGACGUGCGGAAGAAACUGCAAGGCUCGAGUCCGGGAGAGGGGGGUGGAAUUCCCAGUGUAGCGGUGAAAUGCGUAGAUAUCUGGAGGAACACCGGUGGCGAAGGCGGCAUCCUGGACCAACACUGACACUGAGGAGCGAAAGCCAGGGGAGCAAACGGG